rnacentral:rRNA from 1 species
UAGGGAAUCUUCGGCAAUGGGGGGAACCCUGACCGAGCAACGCCGCGUGAGUGAAGAAGGUUUUCGGAUCGUAAAGCUCUGUUGUUAAGGAAGAACGAGUGUGAGAAUGGAAAGUUCAUGCUGUGACGGUACUUAACCAGAAAGGGACGGCUAACUACGUGCCAGCAGCCGCGGUAAUACGUAGGUCCCGAGCGUUGUCCGGAUUUAUUGGGCGUAAAGCGAGCGCAGGCGGUUAGAAAAGUCUGAAGUGAAAGGCAGUGGCUCAACCAUUGUAGGCUUUGGAAACUGUUUAACUUGAGUGCAGAAGGGGGGGGUGGAAUUCCAUGUGUAGCGGUGAAAUGCGUAGAUAUAUGGAGGAGCACCGGUGGCGAAAGCGGCUCUCUAGUCUGUAACUGAAGCUGAGGCUCGAAAGCGUGGGGAGCGAACAGG